CAGCGUGUUGCUAGUAGGCCAUCAAACUGUCCCCUUCCCAGCUGGAAGGGGGACAGGGAGGGCUAAACAACGGAUGGAAUAAUUGAUAAUGGCCUUGGACGUCACACGGCCUGUUAGAGAACAAAGGAAAGGACGAGUGCUUUCUGAAGCAGGGACAAGACUGACAUGCUCGUGCUUUGCAGACAGGACGAAGCAUGUGACCGCUGGCUAGCUUUCUGACAAGAUAGAGGAAAACAAAUGCACGCGCACUGAUAAAGCGUGAGCGGCACUGGGGGAAAGGGUGAAGUGUCCUGCUCAAGGACACAACGGCAGUGAUCUGGAUGGCAAGAGGCGGGGAGCGAACCUGCAAUCCUCAAGUUUCUGGCACGGCUGCGCUACCCACCACACCAUAAGGUAAGACAUAUUGUCUGGCGUUUUACCUUCUGGGACCUGCUGAUCUGUAUUUGGGAUCUGCAUAGGUCCUGAAGAUUUGUGCGGGUCCGCCUUUGUAGUCCGUGCCAACACCAUAGUCGAUAAGCUUCUUCUUUUUCUCUAUCUUCUUGUUAUGGGACAUUCAUCCUCCGCUGUUGUCCCAUCUUAAAACUCAUUUGUAUACUCUAGCCUUUAAAUAGACCCCCUUUUUAGACAAGUUGAUCUGCCGUUUUUUUUCUUUUCUGCUCUGCCCCCCUCUCCUUCGUGGAGGAGGGGGCACAGAUGAAGUGCUGGCUGUCCAAAGUCGGGACCCGGGGUGGACCGCUCGUCUGUGCAUCGGUUGGGGACGUCUCUACGCUGCUGACCUGUCUCCGCUCGGGAUGGUCUCCUGCUGGCCCCACUAUGGACUGGACUCUCACUAUUAUGUUAGAUCCACUAUGGACUGGACUUUCACAAUAUUAUGCUUGACACACUCG